CUCUUCCUCGCUCCCCAGUCCGCGCCUCGCUGGGCUCAGCACCCCGGCCCCCGGCGGGACGGAGGCUCGGGUCCAAAGCAGUGGCUGCACCGACACGAACCCGUCUGCGUUUCUCCACCUGUCUUCCCUCGCCACCUGCAUCUACUAUGGUCUCUAAAUGCCUCGCUUUGUACUUUGUGGCUUUCUGGCAGCCCUUUAAAGCAGCGGUGAAAGAAAGGAGAGAGUCAAGACACGGGAGAAAAUGUUUCAUCCCGGGUUCUUCUAGUGGUGCCCGGUAAGUGACUCCGGACUGACGAGCAGAAAAAUCCCAGGGCCAUCAAUAGAGGGCCUUCGGUGUAGAAUGCGGUUUGCUCAGCUGUCAGCAAAGAGGGACGCAAAACCUAAAUUUGAGAUAUCAGAAAUAACUAAAUAAAAUAGACCUUGGCUGAUUACAACUAAUGGUUCUGAAACCUAGCAAAAGGGUCAGAUUCUGAUCUUGAAUAUACUCUCGAGAGAACCGUUUCAGUACGGGGGUGUAGCUCAGUGGUAGAGCGCGUGCUUAGCAUGCACGAGGCCCCGGGUUCAAUCCCCGGCACCUCCAUUCCUUUUGCUUUUAAUUUUUUUCCCAUUGCUUUACUUUAUUUUCCUUGCUUAAACAGAAAGUAACCCUAUUUCACAACGGUUUUGCCAUUAAUAUUAGUGCUGUUCCAUUUCUACUCCUCAGCCUUGACACGACUCGGGGGACUGCCUAAGCAAAAGGUGGAAAAGAUGGAGCUGGAAGACAAAGACGGCUCCGGAUUCCAAAACUUCAAUGGCGUCGCCAAAUUGACGAGCUCAUUAACCUUUGGAGUAUUGUUAUUUAAAAAGUAGGAAAUAAAAGAUAAAUGUGGAAAUAUUUAAUAAAAGAAAAACGUAAGCUCUCAAUUUUCUUUAUUACUUUUUUUUUUUUGAGACGGAGUCUCUCGCUCUGUCGCCCAGUGGCACGAUCUUGGCUCACUGCAAGCUCCGCCUCCCGGGUUUACGCCAUUCUUCUGCCUCAGCCUCCCGAGUAGCCGGGACUACAGGCGCCCGUCACCACGCCCGGCUAAUUUUUUCUAUUUUUUUGGUAGAGACAGGGUUUCACCGUGUUAGCCAGGAUGGUCGCGAUCUCCUGACCUCGUGAUCCUCCCGCCUCGGCCUCCCACAGUGCUGGGAUUACAGGAGUAAGCCACCACCGCUCCCAGCCGAUUUCCUUUAUUUUUUUUCUGGUCCUUGUUUAGCCAUGAUCCAUCGCAGGCUGAGCCCUGACAAACGCAAAGCCUUCCAAACUGGGAAAUUGAGAAAGUUAUUUUCAUCAAUGAAUGUAGAGGCGUCACACUUCUGCCGAAAUAGCUCCACUGGGAAGCAUGCUCUGCUGAAGAUCUCAAAGUUCACGGACUGAUUUCCAGUUUUAUUCUGUCUUCACUCCUGCCGGAUAAUUUGACUUCCCUUAGAUGACGUUACAGAAGUAAUUUUACCUAAGACAGGUGCGCCCUCUAUCGUAAGGAUAUCUUUCAGACUCUUGGUCCACACAAGAGUUGGUGGCACCGGAGAGCUUGUUAGAAGAGCGAAAUCUCAGCUUCACCUCAGACGUACUGAACCAGAAGUAGCAAUUUAACAAGAUCCACAAGAGAUUCUUUUGCACAUUUAAGAAGCAAUAUGACGUGCUUUGACGUGGAUGGAGUAAGGGUGUAUAGUAUAAAUACGCGGCUGUGUUUUUUCCCCCAAUUUUCUAUUCUAACAGAAAACAUAAUUGCAAAAAAUAUAUAUUUCUAUUGCUGAAUCAUUUUUGUGUUCUAAUCAUUGACUCUGUUCCUUGCCUCUCUGGCAAUAUUGUACUUAGUAAUAUUUUUUGAAUCACUAUUCAUGAUUGAAUAUGAUGUGAAGUUUUCAUUUUCUUUUUUUUUUUUCUUGAGACGGAGUCUCACUCUGUCGUCCAGGUUGGAGUGCAGUGGCGCGAUCUCGACUCACUGCAACCUCCGCCUCCCGGGUUCAAGCGAUUCUCCUGCCUCAGCAUCCCGAGUAACUGGGACAACAAGCGCGCGCCACCGCGCCCGGCUAAUUUUUUAUAUUUUUUUUAGGGACGGGGUUUCACCAUAUUGGCCAGGCUGGUCUCGAACUCCUGACCUCAUGAUCCGCCCGCCUCGCAAAGUGCUGGGAUUACAGGCAUGAGCCACCACUCCCGGCCUUUAUUUUCUUUUUCGCAAGUUUUGCAAUAAAGGCUGUGCUAACUUCUAAUGUAAACUGGGAAGUUUGUAUCCUUGCUCUGAAACAUUUUAAAUAGAAUAAGACCUUGUAAUCAUUCCAGAAUACACAGCCCUCUUCUCAUCAGCUACCACCAAAUCUUCAAGAACUUUUGUAUUAACACCACUUUGUAUUCUAAGCCCUGUGAUAGAUUUUAAAGAUCCAAAACCCUUUGCUAACCCUAAUGAAAGUGUGAGCUGAAGGAUAUCUCAAGAAUUGGGAAAUCCUUGGUUUCCGAUAUAAUAUCAGGCCACCUCUGUCCCUGUGAAGUGAUUAGGAAAUUUUCAAUGGAGAAAAUAAGUUCCAAAAGUCAUUCUUUCUCAGAUUAAGAUGUCUUGGGUUUCAGUUUACUUCUUUAAAGAAAGAUUCAGAGUUAGUACUGAGGACCCAGACUUUCUUGAUGUGGGAAAUAGAUAAUUUUCUGUUCUGUUGACAUUUUUUCUCUCUCUUCUCUCAUUUUCAAAGUACAGUUCCACAAUGUCUCUUUGCCACUUAUACUCACUGUGGCAGAAAAAAAUUAUUCACAGG
rnacentral:lncRNA from 1 species